GGCAAGCAAAGUGGGACAAGGGUUGGAGAGUUGAGGGAGCUUUCCCACAUUGGUGGGAGUCUUGUCAUUCAAGAGCUGCAGAAUGUAGUUGAUGCUAAGGAUGCCUUAGAGGCCAAUUUGGCAGGCAUGCGGUACCUGGAUGAGUUAGAGUUGGAAUGGGGUCGUGAUAGAGGUGAUGAGUUAGAGUUGGAAGGAAAUGAUGAUAGUAGUGAUGAGUUAGAGUUGGAAGGGAAUGGCGAUAGUGGUGAUGAGGAAGGGAAUGACGAUAGUAGUGAUAAGUUAGAGUUGGAAGGGAAUGGCGAUAGUGGUAAUGAGGAAGGGAAUGACGAUAGUAGUGAUGAGUUAGAGUUGGAAGGGAAUGAUGAUAGUGGUGAUGAGGAAGGGAAUGACGAUAGUAGUGAUGAGUUAGAGUUGGAACAGAAUGACGAUAGUGGUGUUGAACAAAAUGGAGCAG
rnacentral:lncRNA from 1 species